GAGCCCGCUGCUGUCACCUCACUCUUUUCUGUUUUCUCUUUGUAAGCACAAGGGAAAAGACAAGCUCUCGGCUGGAAGUUACUGGAACAAGAAGGAGUCUUUAUGUUUAGGGCAACCUACAGACUUUCCUCAAGGAGGCAGAACCAGGCAUGGUGGUGCUCACCCGGAAUGCCAGCUCCCAGGAACCUGAGGCAGGAUUGCAAGGUACAGGCUAGACCUUGUCCCAAAUCUCCCGCCACCACUCCCUACCUACACUCGCAUCAGGAGGAGGCAAAGGACUGGGGCUAGCUUGGCGGUCUCCUGUAAUGUGCUUGCCUGCCAUGCAGCAAACUCCAGGUUCAAUCCUCAGAAGCAUGCAUGCCGAGUGACUACAUAAAGCAAAAGGAAUCCUCCGGCAAACAUGGAGCCAUCACAUGUAACAGCAACUCCAUGUGGACUGUGCCCUGACUUCCAGUGGAGAUGCUGUUACUCUUGAUGACCUCCAACCUGCUACAGAGGUGGGAAAGGGAGGACAGACAUUUCUGGGUACUUGAUUCUCAUUUGAUUCAAAAAUAAAAAGGAUGACCUUCUUUCUGUUUUCUAACUAACAAAUAAUUAAGACUGUAAAUGUUUUAGAAUCCAAGUGCUAGGUCACCAGAAGGACCCACGCAUGGAAGACAAUGAGCGUUCUUAUCAGGAGCUGGUGUACAGGAAAAUGACCUAUGAAUUGACAGACAGUACGGCUGAGUGUGUCUGUCAUUCUGUAGGCCAAUAUUCUGUAUGUCUCUGCUACUUCAAAGCCAGAAAUCAACUGACACCCUUCAGCAGUUGUGCAGCAGACCCCGGGGGAGUCUGUAGCCCAGCAGGAAAACAUGCUGACAAAAUAAAUGAGACGUGCUGGACA